CAGUAGCCGCGGUAAUACAGAGGAUGCAAGCGUUAUCCGGAAUGAUUGGGCGUAAAGGGCACGCAGGCGGUUAUUUAAGUGAGGUGUGAAAGCCCCGGGCUUAACCUGGGAAUUGCAUUUCAGACUGGGUAACUAGAGUACUUUAGGGAGGGGUAGAAUUCCACGUGCAGCGGUGAAAUGCGUAGAGAUGUGGAGGAAUACCGAAGGCGAAGGCAGCCCCUUGGGAAUGUACUGACGCUCAUGUGCGAAAGCGUGGAGAGCAAACAGGAUUAGAUACCCCGGUAGUCCCUGUCUCUUAUAC
rnacentral:rRNA from 1 species